rnacentral:lncRNA from 1 species
AUGGGAAUGUUGGGGGGGGGGGAAAGGGGUGAGGGGGGGCGGGGUCCCAAAAUGGGGCCGGGAUCCGGAACGGACCGCGAGGGGGAGGGCAGAACCGGCCCGAAAAGGAGCGGAGUGCAGGAGGUGCCGCCCCGAAACGGGGGGGAACCCAAAAGUGGGACCGCAAAGAGUGGGAACCCAAAGAGACAGACCCCAAAAGCGGGACCGCAAAGAGUGGGACUCCGAAGAGUGGGACCCCAAAGAGCGGGAUCCCAAAAGAGGGACCCCAAAAGCGGGAUCCCAAGGAGAGGGACCCCAAGGAAGGGGACUCCAAAAAAAGGGACUCCAAAAAGUGGGAUCCCAAAAAGUGGGACCCCCAAAGUGCGGGACCCCAAAAGCGGGACCCCAAGGAGAGGGACCCUAAAGAGUGGGAACCCAAAGAGACAGACCCCAAAAGUUGGACCCCAAAAGCGGGACCCCAAAGAGUGGGAACCCAAAGAGUGGGACAGCCCAAAAAGAAGGACCCCAAAUAAUAGGACCCCAAAGAGAGGGACCCCAAGGAGAGGGACCCCAAAGAGUGGAACCCAAAGAGAGAGACCCCAAAUAGUGGGAACCCGAAGAGAGAGACCCCAAAAGUGGGACCGCAAAGAGUGGGACUCCAAAGAGCGGGAUCCCAAAAGCGGGACCCCAAAAGCGGGACCCCAAAAGCGGGAUCCCAAGGAGAGGGACCCCAAGGAAGGGGACUCCAAAAAAAGGGACUCCAAAAAGUGGGAUCCCAAAAAGUGGGACCCCCAAAGUGGGACCCUAAAAGUGGGACCCCAAAGAGAGGGACGCCGAAGUGUGGGACACCCCCAAAAGUGCGUGACCCCAAAAAGUGGGACCCCAAAGAGAGAGACCCCAAAAGUGGGACCCCAAAAGCGGGAGCCAAAGAGUGGGAACCCAAAGAGAGAGACCCCAAGGAGUGGGACCCCAAAAGAGGGACCCCAAGGAGAGGGACCCAAAAAGUGGGACCCCAAAGAGUGGAACCCCCAAAGAGAGAGACCCCAAAAGCGGGACCCCAAGGAGAGGAACCCCAAAAAGUGGGACCCCAAGGAGGGGGACUCCAAAAAAAGGGACUCCAAAAAGUGGGAUCCCAGAAAGUGGGACACUAAAAGUGGGACCCCAAAGAGAGGGACCCCGAAGUGUGGGACACCCCCAAAAAUGCGUGACCCCAAAAAGUGGGACCCCAAAGAGUGGAACCCCCCUCCCCAAAGAAAAGGACCCAAACAAACCCAAAAGCGGGACCCCAAAAAUUAA